rnacentral:tRNA from 1 species
GUUGAAAUAGCUCAGUUGGGAGGGUGUCAGUCUAAAGAUCUGAAGGGCCCUGGGUUUCAGCA